CAAUAGCGUAUAUUAAAGUUGUUGCGGUUAAAAAGCUCGUAGUUGGAUUUCUGCCGAGUGCAGCCGGUCUGGACACUGUCCAUGUAUCUGGUUUGCGCUUGGCAUCCUCUCAAGAUACGUAUCUGCGCUUGACUGCGUGGUGCGGGGCUUGAGACUUUUACUUUGAGGAAAUUAGAGUGUUCACGGCAGGCCGUUGCCUUGAAUAUAUUAGCAUGGAAUAAUAACAUAGGACUUCGGUUCUAUUUUGUUGGUUUCUAGAGCUGAAGUAAUGAUUAAUAGGGACAAUUGGGGGCAUUCGUAUUAUGGCGUCAGAGGUGGAAUUCUUGGAUUGCCAUACGACGAACUACUGCGAAAGCAUUUGCCAAGGAUGUUUUCAUUGA
rnacentral:rRNA from 1 species